AUGCUUUGGGGGUUCAUAGGCGCGAUGGCUGGAUUUACGCGCGUUUGUCCGAGAGGCGCCUCUCUCAAAUUCUGUUCGCGUGGACAUGGGCGCAUUCCUGGUCUAAUG